CGUAGGGGGCGAGCGUUGUCCGAAGUUACUGGGCGUAAAGCGCGCGUAGCGGGGGGUUAAGUGAGAGGUGAAAGGCUGGGGCUCAACCUCAUGCAGUGCCUCUCAUACUGGCCUUCUUGAGGGCGGUAGGGAGAAGUGGAAUGGCUGGUGUAGCGGUGAAAUGCGUAGAUAUCAGUCGGAACACCGGUGGCGAAGGCGGCUUCUUGGGCCGUUCCUGACGCUGAGGCGCGAAAGCUGGGGGAGCGAACGGGAUUAGAUACCCCGGUAGUCCCAGCCGUAAACGAUGGAUACUAGGUGUCGGGGGUAUCGACCCCCCCGGUGCCGCAGCUAACGCAUUAAGUAUCCCGCCUGGGGAGUACGGCCGCAAGGUUG
rnacentral:rRNA from 1 species